AUAUUUUAAAGAUAACUCUUCCUUAAUAUCUUCAAUAUUACACUCUUUAUAAGCUAUUAAAAUA
rnacentral:tRNA from 1 species